rnacentral:lncRNA from 1 species
UAUUAUUUUAUUAGUGACCCAGUAUUAUUUUUUAUUAGUGAAGUCAAACGGACGGAGAGCAUAUAAAUCUAACAAAAACUGAAGUCAAAAGAAAGCUUACAAUCUUAGAAAAUGGUUCAUCCUGACACGGAAUUAACACUUGUUUGACUUCUAUUACUAGUUGUUUACGUUGAAUGUUAUUCCAAAAAUAGAUCCUAGAAUUUGAGAACGUACUUUUUCAGUUAUGACUUAAAAUGUUGUAUUUCAAUUAUAUUAGCACUUCGGAUGUGAUUUACCGCUCGCACCUAGUAAAGAAAGCUUAGGCUGUUUUUGGAAGUUUAUCUCAGUAACUAUAUCAUAUCUUGUGUACUACUACUUGAAUCAAUGGACAUUUAAGCUAGUCACACUACUAUAUAUUCAAAGUUGAGCUAUCUUGUUUACACAUGCCA